rnacentral:rRNA from 1 species
CGCGGUAAUACGUAGGUGGCAAGCGUUAUCCGGAAUUAUUGGGCGUAAAGCGCGCGUAGGCGGUUUUUUAAGUCUGAUGUGAAAGCCCACGGCUCAACCGUGGAGGGUCAUUGGAAACUGGAAAACUUGAGUGCAGAAGAGGAAAGUGGAAUUCCAUGUGUAGCGGUGAAAUGCGCAGAGAUAUGGAGGAACACCAGUGGCGAAGGCGACUUUCUGGUCUGUAACUGACGCUGAUGUGCGAAAGCGUGGGGAUCAAACAGGAUUAGAUACCCUGGUAGUCCACGCCGUAAACGAUGAGUGCUAAGUGUUAGGGGGUUUCCGCCCCUUAGUGCUGCAGCU